GAUGAACGCUAGCGGCAGGCUUAAUACAUGCAAGUCGAGGGGUAGCAAGAUUGUAGCAAUACAAUUGCUGGCGACCGGCAAACGGGUGCGGAACACGUACACAACCUUCCUACAAGUGGGGAAUAGCCCAGAGAAAUUUGGAUUAAUACCCCGUAACAUAGCGAUGUGGCAUCACAUUGCUAUUAUAGCUUCGGCGCUUGUUGAUGGGUGUGCGGCUGAUUAGAUAGUUGGCGGGGUAACGGCCCACCAAGUCUACGAUCAGUAGCUGAUGUGAGAGCAUGAUCAGCCACACGGGCACUGAGACACGGGCCCGACUCCUACGGGAGGCAGCAGUAAGGAAUAUUGGACAAUGGACGCAAGUCUGAUCCAGCCAUGCCGCGUGAAGGAUUAAGGUCCUCUGGAUUGUAAACUUCUUUUAUAAGGGACGAAAAAAGGUCUUUCUAGAUCGUCUGACGGUACCUUAUGAAUAAGCACCGGCUAACUCUGUGCCAGCCGCCGCCGUAAGAC
rnacentral:rRNA from 1 species